GUGAAUCAUCGAAUUUUUGAACGCAUAUUGCACUCCCUGGUAUUCCGGAGAGUACGCCUAUUUGAGGGUCAUUUGAAAUAAUAUAAAUUUCGAGAGUUACUCGGAAUCAAAAAAGGGACGGUCCAGCAUUCGUGUGGUGGUCGCCUAAAAUGCAAGACAAGCUCAUUACUCGGGUUGCGUGAUACGUUCAGAUACCUCGUC
rnacentral:misc_RNA from 1 species